CGANACUUCUUUAUCACCGAGUGCUUGCACUCACCGAUAAAGAGUUGAGUGGCGAACGGGUGAGUAACACGUGGGCAACCUGCCCAAAAGAGGGGGAUAACACUUGGAAACAGGUGCUAAUACCGCAUAACCAUAGUUACCGCAUGGCAACUAUGUAAAAGGUGGCUAUGCUACCGCUUUUGGAUGGGCCCGCGGCGCAUUAGCUAGUUGGUGAGGUAAAGGCUUACCAAGGCAAUGAUGCGUAGCCGAACUGAGAGGUUGAUCGGCCACAUUGGGACUGAGACACGGCCCAAACUCCUACGGGAGGCAGCAGUAGGGAAUCUUCCACAAUGGGCGAAAGCCUGAUGGAGCAACGCCGCGUGGGUGAAGAAGGUCUUCGGAUCGUAAAACCCUGUUGUUAGAGAAGAAAGUGCGUGAGAGUAACUGUUCACGUUUCGACGGUAUCUAACCAGAAAGCCACGGCUAACUACGUGCCAGCAGCCGCGGUAAUACGUAGGUGGCAAGCGUUAUCCGGAUUUAUUGGGCGUAAAGGGAACGCAGGCGGUCUUUUAAGUCUGAUGUGAAAGCCUUCGGCUUAACCGGAGUAGUGCAUUGGAAACUGGGAGACUUGAGUGCAGAAGAGGAGAGUGGAACUCCAUGUGUAGCGGUGAAAUGCGUAGAUAUAUGGAAGAACACCAGUGGCGAAAGCGGCUCUCUGGUCUGUAACUGACGCUGAGGUUCGAAAGCGUGGGUAGCAAACAGGAUUAGAUACCCUGGUAGUCCACGCCGUAAACGAUGAAUGCUAAGUGUUNGGAGGGUUUCCGCCCUUCAGUGCUGCAGCUAACGCAAUAAGCAUUCCGCCUGGGGAGUACGACCGCAAGGUUGAAACUCAAAGGAAUUGACGGGGGCCCGCACAAGCGG
rnacentral:rRNA from 1 species